GACGAACGCUGGCGGCGUGCUUAACACAUGCAAGUCGAACGGUGAAGCACCUUCCUUUUUGGUGGGUGUGGAUGAGUGGCGAACGGGUGAGUAACACGUGAGUAACCUGCCCCCUUCUUCUGGAUAACCGCAUGAAAGUGUGGCUAAUACGGGAUAUUCUGGGUCUGUCGCAUGAUGGGUCUGGGAAAGAUAUUGUUUCGGUGGGGGAUGGGCUCGCGGCCUAUCAGCUUGUUGGUGGGGUGAUGGCCUACCAAGGCGGUGACGGGUAGCCGGCCUGAGAGGGUGGACGGUCACACGGGGACUGAGACACGGCCCAGACUGCUACGAGAGGCAGCAGUGGGGACUAUUGCACAAUGGGCGCAAGCCUGAUGCAGCGACGCCGCGUGAGGGAUGGAGGCCUUCGGGUUGUGAACCUCUUUCGCCAGUGAAGCAGGCCUGCCUCGUUUGUGGGUGGGUUGACGGUAGCUGGAUAAGAAGCGCCGGCUAACUACGUG
rnacentral:rRNA from 1 species